UGCCUGUACCAUAACCUACACAGGUGGGUAAGUAGAGUAUACUAAGGGGCGCGAGAUAACUCUCUCUAAGGAACUUGGCAAAAUAACUCCGUAACUUCGGGAGAAGGAGUGCCUUAUUCUUAAGGUUGCAAUAACAAGAUCCAAGCAACUGUUUAUCAAAAACACAGGUCUCCGCUAAGUCGUAAGACGAUGUAUGGGGGCUGACGCCUGCCCAGUGCCAGAAGGUUAAAGAAGUCGGUUAGCAAUAGCAAAGCUGGUAACUGAAGCCCUGGUGAACGGCGGCCGUAACUAUAACGGUCCUAAGGUAGCGAAAUUCCUUGUCGGGUAAGUUCCGACCCGCACGAAAGGCGUAAUGAUUUGGAUGCUGUCUCGGAGAGGGGCUCGGUGAAAUAGACUUGUCUGUGAAGAUGCGGACUACCCGCACCAGGACAGAAAGACCCUAUGAAGCUUUACUGUAACUUGAAAUUGAAAUUGGACUUUAUUCGCGCAGUAUAGGUGGGAGGCGUUGAUUAUAAUCUUGUGGGAUUAUUGGAGCCAUCAGUGAGAUACCACUCUUGUAAUGUUAGAUUUCUAACUUUGAAUCAUUAUCUGGUCAAAGGACAGUUUCAGGCGGGCAGUUUGACUGGGGCGGUCGCCUCCUAAACGGUAACGGAGGCGUACAAAGGUUUCCUCUGAACGGUUAGAAAUCGUAUCUAGAGUGUAAAGGCAUAAGAAGCUUGACUGUGAGACCUACAAGUCGAGCAGGGACGAAAGUCGGUCUUAGUGAUCUGACGGUACUGAGUGGAAAGGCCGUCACUCAACGGAUAAAGUUACUCUAGGAUAACAGGCUGGUCUCCCCCAAGAGUUCACAUCGACGGGGAGGUUUGGCACCUCGAUGUCGGCUCAUCGCAUCCUGGGGCGGUAGUACGUCCCAAGGGUUGGGCUGUUCGCCCAUGAAAGCGGUACGCGAGCUGGGUUCAGAACGUCGUGAGACAGUUCGGUCCAUAUCCGGUGUAGGCGCUAGAAUAUUGAGAGGAGCCUUCUUUAGUACGAGAGGACCGAGAAGGACAUACCUCUGGUGUACCAGUUAUCCUGCCAACGGUGAACGCUGGGUAGCUAUGUAUGGAGUGGAUAACCGCUGAAAGCAUCUAAGUGGGAAGCCCACCUCAAGAUAAGUAUUCUCAUCACGUAAGUGAGUAAGGUCACGGUAAGACUAACCGUUUGAUAGGCAUUAAGUGUAAGUACAGUAAUGUAUGUGCUGAGAUGUCCUAAUAGACCGAGGAC
rnacentral:rRNA from 1 species